AGAGACACUUGUAUAAAUAUUAAUAUAAAGUCGAUUUAAAAAAGGGAAAGUGAUUGUAUAGACAUUCAGAGUGAUUAUUGAUAUGCUCUGAGAUAUCGGAGUCAAUAUUGUCGUUUUAAAAAUGUGUUAAUAUUGAUUUAAAUCUUUGAUUCGGGUCACAGUUUAACCGUUGGUCAGUUAACGGUUAUCGAGUUUAGCUAAAGUGUAUUAGCAGCCUCUUUACUGUCCGUUUACUUUGAACAUACUUUUAUUUUACAGUGACUAUAGCUACUGACACCGGGCUUUUAUAUUUCUCCAGAACUCGAAGUGCUUGUAAGUAACUUAGUCAUCUUUGAACCUUCGGAACCGUCAGUAAUUCUUCUUAAAGUUUAGCGGGUAGCCAUCUUUAAAACAGGCUGUCGGCUGUCAAUCAAACCCCCUUGAGCCGGCCGUUGAAGCCCAUAUUUGUAAUGUCCGUUUUGGCCAAACGUUAUUUUGGCCCCAAAAAUCUUACAUUGGAAAAGAGACGUCUUUAAAUCUCUUCGCUGGCCUGGGAGAGCUUUGGAAUCCCCCAGUCAGUGCUGGCUGACAAUGCAAAGCCACAAAGGAUCAGAGGAGAGACGCUCAGAGCCGAGAUCCAGAAGAGCUGUGAGUCCUGAAACCAGAUCCUCCGUCCUCCAGAUAUUACCUUACAUCGGAUGUUAAAAGAGCAUGUCCUCAAAGAACAACAAACAUUCUACAAACAAUAUUUAUUCAUUAUUUAUUAAAAACUCAAUGACAUCCUUGGGACAGCUGUCUUCAGUCUAUGUGGGUUCUAAUGUUUCCCUCUGUUUGAGUUUAACCAGAGGAGUCGCACCCCUACCUUCAUAGAAAACUACCACUGAAUGAAUGCCUCAUAAAAUGUGGUAUAUUAACUACACAACACAACAGGAUAUGCAUAUGACACAGCUGUAGUUAUUUUACACAUCUGAAUGAGUAACUGAGAUGUUACAGACCUUUCAAUCCUUUUAGCGUCACAUUAUUUGAUAUCUUCAAAGUGUUGGUUUUCUAACUGAAGUAUUUCCCCUGUUUAUCUCCAUAAGUCUCCAGCUGAACCAGCUUCUGGAUGAACCUGUUGACGUGAACUGAUCACUGAUGCUGAGAAAAGGUCAACCAGAACCAAAGCCCGAUUAGAAAGCAAUGCUUCCAACAUUUCAGAGCAUUUAUUGAACUCAUAACUUGCACCAAAUGGCACACGCUUAAAUCAUAUCAACGUUUUCCCACGGUUGCUUCAAAGCUUACAAUCGUUGGUAGGCUUUGUGAUAAAAUACAUUAGAGAUGUUAUAGUCUUUUCAGUAAAGCACUUUAAUACUCUGACCACUCUUCUGGUCCACAUUGAGUUACUUCCUGUGUUAGAUAACUGGCCUGUCCCCUCUCUGUAUGCGCAGGUGACUUCCUGUCUUAUCCACAGAUCCGUGUGCUGGUGAGGACAGAGACAAGUGUAAACUGUGUGGAUAUCAGAACGUGUUCAGAGUGGGAGGCUGGAGCUGAGGUUUGUCUCAGGUCCAGUGAUUGAGAUCUAGUCUCAUUUCAGUGAGUUAGCAAUUAAGAAAAUAUGUACAUGUAUGUCUCUUGUAGUACCGAUAACAAAUACUGAUCAUUUCAUUUGCAAGGUUUUGAACAUUCCAACUGAUUUGUUCGAUAGCUAUUUGAUAUUCUCAAUAAUAUCUGGACACCACUUUUUCUACACCUGUAUUUACAUCUUGUCUAACUGCAGGAAUACAGUGUGUCUGUAACACGUGAAGGGUUUAGGGAUUUCAGGCCGUGGAUUGUUUGAAACGUUAUAGGUGGGACAGAAAACGUCCCCCCAUUCUGAAAUGUCCCCUCAAUUUCCGCUCUGUAUAUAUUUGAACUAUGAUAUUCUUUAAUUUCAUCAUGAAAUGCAAUACAAUGUGGCUGCUGUAUCAUAUUUCAUAAGACGUCCCUGCCAACAUCGUGUGUGCCGCUGCGUGACGGUAGCCGGGCUCGAGGAGUAACGGCGUGACGUAAUUGAGAUACAAAAUCUGUUAGUUUCACAAAAAAGGCGUUAUCAGAUUACAGUUACAGAUUCCUCUUUCAGUGUUACGAUGCAUUUUAAAUUAGGAAGGACAUGUUAGAAGGAUCAUGUGUGAUCAGUACACGUGUUUUGCAUUUGUAUCAAGAAUUGAAAUAAUAAACAUCAUUAAAGACAACCUGUUUUUAAUGAUACUCCUCGUCUUUA